rnacentral:rRNA from 1 species
CAGGAUGAACGCUAGCGACAGGCUAACACAUGCAAGUCGAGGGGCAGCAUAAAAGUAGCAAUACUUGGUGGCGACCGGCGCACGGGUGAGUAACGCGUAUGCAACCUACCUAUCAGAGGGGAAUAACCCGGCGAAAGUCGGACUAAUACCGCAUAAAACAGGGGCACCGCAUGGUGAUAUUUGUUAAAGAAAUUCGCUGAUAGAUGGGCAUGCGUUCCAUUAGGUAGUUGGUGAGGUAACGGCUCACCAAGCCGACGAUGGAUAGGGGAACUGAGAGGUUGGUCCCCCACACUGGUACUGAGACACGGACCAGACUCCUACGGGAGGCAGCAGUGAGGAAUAUUGGUCAAUGGGCGAGAGCCUGAACCAGCCAAGUCGCGUGAAGGAAGAAGGAUCUAUGGUUCGUAAACUUCUUUUGCAGGGGAAUAAAGUGCAGGACGUGUCCUGUUUUGUAUGUACCCUGAGAAUAAGGAUCGGCCAACUCCGUGCCAGCCGCCGC